rnacentral:rRNA from 1 species
GAUGAACGCUGGCGGCGUGCUUAACACAUGCAAGUCGAACGGUGAAGCCAAGCUUGCUUGGUGGAUCAGUGGCGAACGGGUGAGUAACACGUGAGCAACCUGCCCUGGACUCUGGGAUAAGCGCUGGAAACGGUGUCUAAUACUGGAUAUGAGAUGUGAUCGCAUGGUCAUGUUUGGAAAGAUUUUUCGGUCUGGGAUGGGCUCGCGGCCUAUCAGCUUGUUGGUGAGGUAAUGGCUCACCAAGGCGUCGACGGGUAGCCGGCCUGAGAGGGUGACCGGCCACACUGGGACUGAGACACGGCCCAGACUCCUACGGGAGGCAGCAGUGGGGAAUAUUGCACAAUGGGCGGAAGCCUGAUGCAGCAACGCCGCGUGAGGGAUGACGGCCUUCGGGUUGUAAACCUCUUUUAGCAGGGAAGAAGCGAAAGUGACGGUACCUGCAGAAAAAGCGCCGGCUAACUACGUGCCAGCAGCCGCGGUAAUACGUAGGGCGCAAGCGUUAUCCGGAAUUAUUGGGCGUAAAGAGCUCGUAGGCGGUUUGUCGCGUCUGCUGUGAAAUCCCGAGGCUCAACCUCGGGUCUGCAGUGGGUACGGGCAGACUAGAGUGCGGUAGGGGAGAUUGGAAUUCCUGGUGUAGCGGUGGAAUGCGCAGAUAUCAGGAGGAACACCGAUGGCGAAGGCAGAUCUCUGGGCCGUAACUGACGCUGAGGAGCGAAAGGGUGGGGAGCAAACAGGCUUAGAUACCCUGGUAGUCCACCCCGUAAACGUUGGGAACUAGUUGUGGGGACCAUUCCACGGUUUCCGUGACGCAGCUAACGCAUUAAGUUCCCCGCCUGGGGAGUACGGCCGCAAGGCUAAAACUCAAAGGAAUUGACGGGGACCCGCACAAGCGGCGGAGCAUGCGGAUUAAUUCGAUGCAACGCGAAGAACCUUACCAAGGCUUGACAUACACCAGAACACCGUAGAAAUACGGGACUCUUUGGACACUGGUGAACAGGUGGUGCAUGGUUGUCGUCAGCUCGUGUCGUGAGAUGUUGGGUUAAGUCCCGCAACGAGCGCAACCCUCGUUCUAUGUUGCCAGCACGUAAUGGUGGGAACUC